UUGAAAGGGAACGAUUGAAGUCAGUCGUACCGACNGAGGGAUCAACCUUUGAAAGCGGGUCGAGGUAUUCGAGGAGUUUAAAAGCCCUCUUGCGCUCACGUACUUCGUUUUCUUUGGUGCACUUCUUCGUAUGGUAGGUUAACAUCAAUUUUGGACGUUACAAAAUGAUCGGGGGAAUGUAGCUUCGAUUUUUCCGGAAGUGUUAUAGCCCUUGGUAGAUGUGACGACCGGGAUUGAGGAUUGCAACGAAUGCUUUCGGGCUAUCCGUCUGACCUCUGGUGGUUGCUUUAGGGUCGAAAGCGUGCUUACGACUUUAAAGUUGGCUAUCAAAAGGCUAGAACGUGAUUAAAUUCGUUAAGGAUGUUGACGUAAUCCAUAUGACUAGUAGAUCCUCAAGAGUCGACCUGCAUUCUNUCAAGCUAA
rnacentral:rRNA from 1 species